rnacentral:rRNA from 1 species
AUUGAACGCUGGCGGCAUGCUUUACACAUGCAAGUCGAACGGUAACAGGCCGCAAGGUGCUGACGAGUGGCGAACGGGUGAGUAAUGCAUCGGAACGUGCCCAGUCGUGGGGGAUAACUACUCGAAAGAGUAGCUAAUACCGCAUACGAUCUAUGGAUGAAAGCGGGGGACCGUAAGGCCUCGCGCGAUUGGAGCGGCCGAUGUCAGAUUAGGUAGUUGGUGGGGUAAAGGCUCACCAAGCCAACGAUCUGUAGCUGGUCUGAGAGGACGACCAGCCACACUGGGACUGAGACACGGCCCAGACUCCUACGGGAGGCAGCAGUGGGGAAUUUUGGACAAUGGGCGCAAGCCUGAUCCAGCAACGCCGCGUGCAGGAAGAAGGCCUUCGGGUUGUAAACUGCUUUUGUACGGAACGAAACGGCUCUGGUUAAUACCCGGGGCUAAUGACGGUACCGGAAGAAUAAGCACCGGCUAACUACGUG